rnacentral:rRNA from 1 species
UGGGGAAUCUUGGACAAUGGGCGCAAGCCUGAUCCAGCCAUGCCGCGUGAGUGACGAAGGUCUUCGGAUUGUAAAGCUCUUUUGGCGGGGACGAUAAUGACGGUACCCGCAGAAUAAGCCCCGGCUAACUUCGUGCCAGCAGCCGCGGUAAUACGAAGGGGGCUAGCGUUGUUCGGAAUUACUGGGCGUAAAGCGCACGUAGGCGGAUCUAUAAGUCAGGGGUGAAAUCCCGGGGCUCAACCUCGGAACUGCCUUUGAUACUGUAGAUCUCGAGUCCGGAAGAGGUGAGUGGAAUUCCUAGUGUAGAGGUGAAAUUCGUAGAUAUUAGGAAGAACACCGGUGGCGAAGGCGGCUCACUGGCUCGAUACUGACACUGAGGUGCGAAAGCGUGGGGAGCAAACAGGAUUAGAUACCCCCGUAGUCCCUGAGCGGGCUGGCAAGGCGCAU